AGGACGAACGCUGGCGGCGUGCUUAACACAUGCAAGUCGAGCGGUAAGGCCUUUCGGGGUACACGAGCGGCGAACGGGUGAGUAACACGUGGGUGAUCUGCCCUGCACUCUGGGAUAAGCCUGGGAAACUGGGUCUAAUACCGGAUAUGACCUGCUCUCGCAUGGGGGUGGGUGGAAAGAUUUAUCGGUGCAGGAUGGGCCCGCGGCCUAUCAGCUUGUUGGUGGGGUAAUGGCCUACCAAGGCGACGACGGGUAGCCGACCUGAGAGGGUGACCGGCCACACUGGGACUGAGACACGGCCCAGACUCCUACGGGAGGCAGCAGUGGGAAUAUGCACAAUGGGCGAAAGCCUGAUGCAGCGACGCCGCGUGAGGGAUGGAAGGCCUUCGGGUUGUAAACCUCUUUCAGCAGGACGAAGCGCAAGUGACGGUACCUGCAGAAGAAGCACCGGCUAACUACGUGCCAGCAGCCGC
rnacentral:rRNA from 1 species